CAAAGCACUUUGAAGAGAGAGUUAAAGAGGACGUGAAACCGGUGAGAUGGAAACGGAUAGAGCCAGCGUAUCUGGCCUGCAUUCAACUGUUAGUCUCGUGUCGGCUGGGACGCUGCCUCCAGAUUGGGGUAGUUCCCUGUUCGGUGCGGGGCGGAUAGUGCAUUUGCAGGUGGAGUGCGCCGAGACGCUCGGAGCAGCUGCAUGAGCUCAGCCUUGAGGCCAGCCCGCAAGGGUCUGGUACCCGGACUGGGGGAGUGCUGUUUGUCCUGGGUGUGCUUGUCUGAUGGCAUGGCUUACGAGCUGGGAUGGGCGCCGAGCUGGCAGCUGGUUACGGUCGCAUGCGACACGUGCUAGUGGCUAGUUCGGUCCUGUUCUAGCUCACAUGUCAGCUCUCGGUGUAAAAGCUGGUCAUCUAUCCGACCCGUCUUGAAACACGGACCAAGGAGUUUAUCGUGUACGCAAGUCAUUGGGCGUUCAAAACCCAAAGGCGCAAUGAAAGUAAAGGUUUCCGCAAGGAGCUGACGUGCGAUCCUGUUUGCCUCGGCAUGCCAGGCGCAGCAUGGCCCCAUCCCGACUGCUUGCAGUGGGGUGGAGGUAGAGCGUAUGCGGUGAGACCCGAAAGAUGGUGAACUAUUCCUGAGCAGGAUGAAGCCAGAGG
rnacentral:rRNA from 1 species